ACGCAGGAGGUUCACUGGCAGCGAGUGCUCUCCUUUGUGUCUGCCUUGGUUGUCUGCUUCUCAGAAGCGCAGCAGCUGCUUGAAGGCUGGGUGGCGCAUUUGAUGGCCCAGGCAUUUGAGAGCUGCCAGCUGGACAGCAUGGUCACUGCGUUCCUGGUUGUGCGCCAGGCAGCACUGGAGGGCCCCUCUGCGUUCCUGUCAUAUGCAGACUGGUUCAAGGUAAGUGACCUGCCAAUCGGCUACCUAAUACCUGAUCUUCCCAGAAGGCCUGGGAGUGGGGACCAUGCUGUCCCCACCUGACUCUCUGUCAUGUGAGUGAGCGACCUUGCUGUCAGCUUUGCCAAGUGGCCUUGGCAGAUCUUCUCUGUGUGUACCGAGGAGUUCUCCUGGGGUUCUUCCUCUGUGUGCGAGGGCCUGGGUUCUCCCUGUCGGGCUUCGAGGAGCCUGGGUUCUCCCUGUCGGGGCCUCGGUGGAUCUUCCUCUGCAUGUGCCGAGGAGCCUGGGUUUUUCCUGUGCGGGGGGGUGGGGGGGGUCUUCCUCUGCAUGUGCCGAGGAGCCUGGGUUCUCCCUGUCGGGGCCUCGGCUCUUUCCCCUGGUUUCCGUCUCGCUUACUUGACGGAGCGUCGUGCUGUUUUUUAUAAGAAAAUCAGCGAAGUCAAGCCUGGACACCAUAGUGAGACCUCAUCUCCGCCAAAAA
rnacentral:sRNA from 1 species